rnacentral:rRNA from 1 species
ACUCAAAGGAAUUGACGGGGACCCGCACAAGCGGUGGAGCAUGUGGUUUAAUUCGAAGCAACGCGAAGAACCUUACCAAAUCUUGACAUCCUCUGACCCCUCUAGAGAUAGAGUUUUCCCCUUCGGGGGACAGAGUGACAGGUGGUGCAUGGUUGUCGUCAGCUCGUGUCGUGAGAUGUUGGGUUAAGUCCCGCAACGAGCGCAACCCUUAAGCUUAGUUGCCAUCAUUAAGUUGGGCACUCUAAGUUGACUGCCGGUGACAAACCGGAGGAAGGUGGGGAUGACGUCAAAUCAUCAUGCCCCUUAUGAUUUGGGCUACACACGUGCUACAAUGGACAAUACAAAGGGUAGCAAAACCGCGAGGUCAAGCAAAUCCCAUAAAGUUGUUCUCAGUUCGGAUUGUAGUCUGCAACUCGACUACAUGAAGCUGGAAUCGCUAGUAAUCGUAGAUCAGCAUGCUACGGUGAAUACGUUCCCGGGUCUUGCACACACCGCCCGU